rnacentral:lncRNA from 1 species
AUCUAACUCUCAUGCUUUGUGUUAUGUGCUGGACCGUUGGGGGUUCAGAUUCUCAGGUUGAGGAUCCCGAUCAGAGUUAGAGGACUGUUCGUGCUCGUGCUUAGUGUAGCGCUUUUUGGUGAGGAGUUUAGCCUAGACUACUCCUUUAGAUAUAUUUGUAUAUCUCUUUUGAUGGGUUGUAUAGAAUUGCUCUGAUUAGGUUUUACCGGGUCGGGUUAUUUGUUUGAAUUGUAUUAAGCCCGUGAUGGCAUAUUGA